AGCUUAGCAAAAGAAAAAAAAAUGCAAUGACUGAGAAAAAUUAAGAGAGAUAUUAAAAUAUCAAAUUAGAAACUUUAGAACCUACCACAAGAAAUGAAUAUAUAGUGACUCGAUCAUUUUCAUUGCUCUGCAUUAAAAUUACAAUUUCUGAAGACAUUACAUAGUGUAUGUUUGGUAUAAAGCACUAGAUGGGACUUGACAGUUUAAUGGAAAAAAAAAAUUGGCUUCUUUUUCAUCUUAAUACCGUCAAGUGCUAUCCAAUCCAACCUACUAAACAUACUACUAGAGUUCAAAGAAAUUUAAACAGAACUCAGAGAGGGAUGGUGUAGUUCUUUAAUUUUUUAUUUUUUAACUAAAAUUUACCAAUAGAACAAUGAACCUUAAUACACCACCCCCCAUAGGUAGCCUAGUUAAAGGGAGGAAGAGAAUGAUGUUGAGGAUCUGGACCACCCGGCGCAACUCUAUCAUGGACUGCAUUGAGUGACCUCCUCUUAUGGUACUCGAAUUCAGCAGGACUGAUACCUAUUUUACUCUGAAAGAGUUGGAUAUUCAUAUUAUUCUGGUGCAUGUCUUGUGUCCCCUGAAGCACACGAGCCUCGGACAUGAAGAAGAAAAGAGAAAACGAGAUGAAGAAAAAUGCUAUCAAUCGGAGAGUCACUGAAUGAGCCAUGAAAUGAUAAUACAGGAGAAUAGAAAGGGAAACUCUAGUAGUUUGAGUCAACGGAGAGAUAGAUUAUUGCUUGCAUGAAUAAUCUCAAUUCUUGCGAUUUAUAUAGGGAAAACCGUUGAUAAAGGGGGACAGAGUGGAGAGAAUGUGAUUCAUUUGUUUGAUAAAUCGAC
rnacentral:lncRNA from 1 species